rnacentral:rRNA from 1 species
GGCCUAUCAGCUUGUUGGUGAGGUAAAAGCUCACCAAGGCUACGACGGGUAUGGGGUGCGAGAGCAUGACCCCACUCACUGGGACUGAGACACUGCCCAGACUCCUACGGGAGGCUGCAGUCAAGAAUCUUCCUCAAUGGGCGAAAGCCUGAAGGAGCGACGCCGCGUGCAUGAAGAAGCUCUUCGGAGUGUAAAAUGCUUUUAUCAGUGACGAAACAAUGACGGUAACUGAUGAAUAAGGGGCUGCUAACCUCGUGCCAGCAGCAGCGGUAAUACGAGGGCCCCAAGCGUUAUCCGGAUUUAUUGGGCGUAAAGCGUCCGUAGGUGGUUUGUCGCAUCUCCUGUUAAAUCUCUGGGCUCAACCCAGAGUCAGCGGGAGAGAUGGAUAAGCUAGAGACUGGAAGAGGCAAACGGAAUUGCUGGUGUAGGGGUUAAAUCCAUUAAUAUCAGCAAGAACAUCAAAUGCGAAGGCAGUUUGCUAGGACAGUUCUGACACUCAGUGGACGAAAGCGUGGGGAGCGAAUGGGAUUAGAUACCCCAGUAGUCCACGCCGUAAACGAUGGAUACUAAGCAUUGGAAGUAUCGACCCUUUCAGUGCUGUUAAUUUAAGGUAACCCGUUAAGUACCCCGCCUGGGGAGUACG